AGAAGAAAUCCUCUCCAGAAUGUUUCUAUAAGCUGACUAAUUUCUAUAAUGCCUAAUGUCUGAGUUGUGUUCAUGGUAAUUAUUUCUGACAUUUUUAUGCUUUAUGUUGUAGGUGGUGAAAAAUGCUCUCCAGGGUAAACCGGGUGGACAAAGUAUUUUGGCUGGGAAAACCAGGCAUUCUUCCGUUGGUUCAUGUGCUUCGUCCUACAUCUAAAGGCCACAAGAAGAAUCCAAAACAGCUCAUGUCAAACUGUGGACCAUGUUUUCAGAUAUGUGCAGAUGCAAGCCAGUGUUGAAGCCUUCCUCAUUGCCGUGCAACCAGGACAGCCCUUCCUCCUGCAUGUUGGUGAAAACAAGAGCAGCACCAAAGACACUUCACCCCAUCAGUGAUCCCAAGGUCAUCCAAGGUAGCUUUUGAUGAACUUCCAAAGCACACUUCACCUUCAGUGCAAAGUACCAUGAAUUCCUCUACAACUUCUGUAAAUUAAUCCAGCCUACAGUUUUCAACAUUGAUGUGACUUGCACGACAAUUGAGGAGUUUAAGAUCCUUGCUUUUACUUUACCUGGCAGAGUGGACACUCUUUAUUAUGAUGAUCAUUUAAAUGCAUACUGUAUCAAUAAGAGGAUUUGUUUUGUGUUCUUCCAAUUAAGGACUUGGUUUAUUACAAUCCCUGUGGCAAGCAGUUUUCUGCAUGGUCAGCAUUGAAGGUCAUAUUGUCUUUGAGAGGGUCCAGCCAACCAUUCCAGACAGGACAGUGUUGUCCAUCUUCUACAUUUUCAACCUCCAAUGAGGCAGCCAAGAUUUUGGUUCAUUCAACGGUAAAACCAUUCCUAUAAUUUUUUUUUACAAUGACAUGGUUUUA